rnacentral:rRNA from 1 species
UACGUAGGGGGCAAGCGUUGUCCGGAUUUAUUGGGCGUAAAGAGCGUGUAGGCGGCCAUACAGGUCAGCUGUGAAAACUCGAGGCUCAACCUCGAGACGUCGGUUGAAACCGUAUGGCUAGAGUCCGGAAGAGGAGAGUGGAAUUCCCGGUGUAGCGGUGAAAUGCGCAGAUAUCGGGAAGAACACCCGUGGCGAAGGCGGCUCUCUGGGACGGUUUCUGACGCUAAGACGCGAAAGCGUGGGGAGCAAACAGG